UAUGUACUCCCUCCGUUCGGAAUUACUUGUCACGAAAAUGGAUGUAUCUAGAUGUAUUUUAGUUCUAGAUACAUCCAUUUCCGAGACAAGUAAUUCCGAACGGAAGGAGUAUGAA
rnacentral:pre_miRNA from 1 species